rnacentral:rRNA from 1 species
UAAGCGGAGGAAAAGAAACUAACAAGGAUUCCCCUAGUAACGGCGAAGUGAAGCGGGAAGAGCUCAAAUUUGAAAUCUGGUAGCCUUCGGUUGCCCGAGUUGUAAUCUAGAGAAGUGUUUUCCGCGUUGGCCCAUGUACAAGUCCCUUGGGAACAGGGCGUCAUAGAGGGUGAGAAUCCCGUCCUUGACCAUAGGACCCCCAAUGCUUUGUGAUACACUUUCAACGAGUCGAGUUGUUUGGGAAUGCAGCUCAAAAUGGGUGGUGAAUUCCAUCUAAAGCUAAAUAUUGGCGAGAGACCGAUAGCGAACAAGUACCGUGAGGGAAAGAUGAAAAGCACUUUGGAAAGAGAGUUAAACCAGUACGUGAAAUUGUUGAAAGGGAAACGAUUGAAGUCAGUCAUGCUCUUUGGAUUAAGCCGUUCUGCGGUGUAUUUCAUUGAGCGGGGUCAACAUCCUAGUUUUGAUCGCUGGAAAAGGGCCUAGGAGGAAGGUAGCACUCUCGGGUGAACUUAUAGCCUCUUGUCGUAUACAGUGAUUGGGACUGAGGAACGCAGCAUGCCUUUUGGCCGGGAUUCGUCCACGUACAUGCUUAGGAUGUUGACAUAAUGGCUUUAACCGACCCGUCUUGAAACACG